rnacentral:snoRNA from 1 species
CAUGAUGAUUACCUUUCAGUUCUGCUACUGAAGAUUUUUGACGAUAGCAAAAAUACCAAACCACUGAAA